rnacentral:rRNA from 1 species
GUGAGGAAUAUUGGUCAAUGGAGGCAACUCUGAACCAGCCAUGCCGCGUGCAGGAUGACGGUCCUAUGGAUUGUAAACUGCUUUUGUACAGGAAGAAACCUCCCUACGAGUAGGGACUUGACGGUACUGUAAGAAUAAGGAUCGGCUAACUCCGUGCCAGCAGCCGCGGUAAUACGGAGGAUCCGAGCGUUAUCCGGAAUUAUUGGGUUUAAAGGGUUCGUAGGCGGUCAGAUAAGUCAGUGGUGAAAUUUCCUAGCUUAACUAGGACACGGCCAUUGAUACUGUUUGACUUGAAUAGUAUGGAAGUAACUAGAAUAUGUAGUGUAGCGGUGAAAUGCUUAGAUAUUACAUGGAAUACCAAUUGCGAAGGCAGGUUACUACGUACUUAUUGACGCUGAUGAACGAAAGCGUGGGGAGCGAACAGGAUUAGAAACCCUAGUAGUCC